UCUCCGUAGGUGAACCUGCGGAGGGAUCAUUACAGAGUUCAUGCCCUCACGGGUAGACCUCCCACCCUGUGUUAUUAUACUUUGUUGCUUUGGCAGGCCGCCCGCGUGGGCUACCGGCUCCAGCUGGUAAGUGCCUGCCAGAGGACCCCAAACUCUGAAUAUUUUAUUGUCUGGGUACUAUAUAAUAGUUUAAAACUUUCAACAACGGAUCUCUUGGUUCUG
rnacentral:misc_RNA from 1 species